CCUACGGGUGGCAGCAGUGAGGAAUAUUGGUCAAUGGGCGCGAGCCUGAACCAGCCAAGUAGCGUGAAGGAUGACUGCCCUACGGGUUGUAAACUUCUUUUAUAAAGGAAUAAAGUGAGGCACGUGUGCCUUUUUGUAUGUACUUUAUGAAUAAGGAUCGGCUAACCCCGCGCCAGCAGCCGCGGUAAUACGGAGGAUCCGAGCGUUAUCCGGAUUUAUUGGGUUUAAAGGGAGCGUAGAUGGGUUGUUAAGUCAGUUGUGAAAGUUUGCGGCUCAACCGUACAAUUGCAAUUGAUACUGGCAGUCUUGAGUACAGUUGAGGUAGGUGGAAUUCGUGGUGUAGCGGUGAAAUGCGUAGAUAUCACGAGGAACUCCGAUGGCGAAGGCAGCUUACUAAACUGCCACUGACAUUGAUGCGCGAAAGUGUGGGUAGCAAACAGGAUUAGAUACCCUUGUAGUC
rnacentral:rRNA from 1 species